rnacentral:rRNA from 1 species
AUUGAACGCUGGCGGCAUGCCUUACACAUGCAAGUCGAACGGUAACAGGCCGCAAGGUGCUGACGAGUGGCGGACGGGUGAGUAAGGCGUAGGAAUCUGCCCACGAGAGGGGGACAACCUGGGGAAACUCAGGCUAAUACCGCAUACGCUCGCGAGAGGAAAGCGGGGGACCUACGGGCCUCGCGCUGGUGGAAGAGCCUACGUCCGAUUAGCUAGUUGGCAGGGUAAAAGCCUACCAAGGCGACGAUCGGUAGCUGGUCUGAGAGGAUGAUCAGCCACACUGGGACUGAGACACGGCCCAGACUCCUACGGGAGGCAGCAGUGGGGAAUAUUGCACAAUGGGCGCAAGCCUGAUGCAGCAACGCCGCGUGAGGGAUGACGGCCUUCGGGUUGUAAACCUCUUUUAGUAGGGAAGAAGCGAAAGUGACGGUACCUGCAGAAAAAGCACCGGCUAACUACGUG